GUGGGGAAUAUUGGACAAUGGGCGAAAGCCUGAUCCAGCCAUGCCGCGUGUGUGAAGAAGGUCUUCGGAUUGUAAAGCACUUUAAGUUGGGAGGAAGGGCAGUAAGUUAAUACCUUGCUGUUUUGACGUUACCGACAGAAUAAGCACCGGCUAACUUCGUGCCAGCAGCCGCGGUAAUACGAAGGGUGCAAGCGUUAAUCGGAAUUACUGGGCGUAAAGCGCGCGUAGGUGGUUCAGUAAGUUGGAAGGGAAAUCCCCGGGCUCAACCUGGGAACUGCUUUCAAAACUGCUGAGCUAGAGUACGGUAGAGGGUGGUGGAAUUUCCUGUGUAGCGGUGAAAUGCGUAGAUAUAGGAAGGAACACCAGUGGCGAAGGCGACCACCUGGACUGAUACUGACACUGAGGUGCGAAAGCGUGGGGAGCAAACAGGAUUAGAAACCCGGGUAGUCC
rnacentral:rRNA from 1 species